rnacentral:sRNA from 1 species
CAGGCCACCUCGUCGGCGUCCGCCCGAGUCCCCGCCUCGCCGCUAACGCCACAACCACCGCGCACGGCCCCCUGACUCCGUCCAGUAUUGAUCGGGAGAGCCGGAGCGAGCUCUUCGGGGAGCAGCGAUGCGACCCUCCGGGACGGCCGGGGCAGCGCUCCUGGCGCUGCUGGCUGCGCUCUGCCCGGCGAGUCGGGCUCUGGAGGAAAAGAAAGUUCAAGUGCCAUUCAAUUUAUCCUGGCAAGAAGAGGAAGGCAUCAUCAAGACCUUAAUUUUCUAAUACGUCUGAUCUGAGAAGAAUGUGAAAGCUAUAAAAUUAAUUUUUGAUCAAUAACUACAGGCCUUUUGAGAGAGUGCCCUCCUAAUGAAUUGAGUACCUAUUUCUCCAUACACAGUGUCUAUCAUGACCUACAAACCCUUUUCCCAUGAGGUGUAACAGAGAGAGAUUACAGCCUUGGAACUGGAUGUCAGACUCUCCUGGUUUAAGACAAUAAGCCAUGACAUAGAGCCUGAAACCAACACCAUCUUCCGAGUGGUUCCAGAAACAUAUAGGGGACAAUG